GUAUGCCUUUUACCAUGAGAAGUGUUCUCAGAUAGGGGCAUGAAAAUAGAGAGGGGGCGAGCUUCUGUGCAUGUGUAACAAAGGAAAAAUACUUCCUCUUGGGCAUAAGUUCUAGGGUAGGUACUCUAGGGUUUCAUCUCUAAGGUUUUGUGAGAAGCAAAGAAAAGAGAAUCUUUCCUAUUCUUCUUUCACCAUCUAGUGUUCCUCCUCUUGUUCUAUCUUUAGAUCCGAAAGAGUCUGGGUGAAUCGAAGGAAGGAGCGAAAUCAGCCUUUCAAUGCCUUUCUUACGAGCUAGCACUUCCAGGGAGGCGGAUCAGAUUGGGGCUUCUAGUGGACAUCUUGUAGAGGUUUGAUAUUCUGUAUAGCUAUUCAGUAUCAGAAAGAACUUGAUACUAUAUUCAUUAG
rnacentral:lncRNA from 1 species